GAUGUACUACCCCUCCGAUCCAAAUACUUGUCUUAGAUUUGUCUAGAUAUGGAUGUAUUUAGACUAAACGUGUCUGAUACAUCCAUAUAUAGACAAAUCUAAGACAAGUAAUAUGGAUUGGACGGAGUAUUUG
rfam:Hordeum vulgare subsp. vulgare, WGS project CAJW01000000 data, contig: morex_contig_135590